rnacentral:rRNA from 1 species
CAAACGACUCUCGGCAACGGAUAUCUUGGCUCACGCAUCGAUGAAGAACGUAGCAAAAUGCGAUACUUGGUGUGAAUUGCAGAAUCCCGUGAACCAUCGAGUUUUUGAACGCAAGUUGCGCCCGAAGCCAUUUGGCUAAGGGCACGUCUGCCUGGGUGUCACGC